CCUACGUGAGGCAGCAGUGAGGAAUAUUGGUCAAUGGGCGCUAGCCUGAACCAGCCAAGUAGCGUGAAGGAUGACUGUCCUAUGAGUUGUAAACUUCUUUUAUCUGGGAAUAAAGUGCAGUAUGUAUACUUCUUUGCAUGUACCUUAUGAAUAAGGAUCGGCUAACUCCGUGCCAGCAGCCGCGGUAAUACGGAUGAUCCGAGCGUUAUCCGGAUUUAUUGGGUGUAAAGGGAGCGUAGGCGGGAUGUUAAGUCAGUUGUGAAAGUGUGCGGCUCAACCGUAAAAUUGCAGUUGAUACUGGCAUCCUGGAGUACAGUAGAGGUAGGCGGAAUUCGUGGUGUAGCGGUGAAAUGCUGAGAUAUCACGAAGAACUCCGAUUGCGAAGGCAGCCUGCUGGACUGUAACUGACGCUGAUGCUCGAAAGUGUGGGUAUCAAACAGGAUUAGAUACCCGGGUAGUC
rnacentral:rRNA from 1 species